UUCCGGCGCGGCCCGGCGGCGGCCCGGGGAUGUGCGGUCCAGCGUCCCCGGGCUGGGGCGUCUUCGGCAGGUCCUUUGAGGCCGCGGCGCCCACUCUGCAACGUCGGUUGGGUUACAUUUUAAUGGAAGAGACUGUGUGGCCGAAAGGGGCUGCUAAGAACCAAACUAAUUCACGCUUCUGGGAGGGGGUGGCCACAUGGCCUGCCUCUUAGAAGCCACAUGGCAGAAACUGCGAGAACCUUAUCAGACACGAGCCCGAAACAGCUCGAGUGUCAUUUCCUGUGUAGGAGCGCUGGUCAGCUCCCUCUGCCACCCUUAGGGCACCUGUCGCUAAACCAGCCGACUAAGGCCACCAGCCCUCUGAGGCCGUCGUCCUGCUGUGGCGCCGCCUCCCGUCCACUCGUCCCCGUCCCCGGGUGACGACUGUUACCCUUCUCUGAAGCCAGAGGAAGGAACACGCCCUAGGCAGCUCCAGAGGGUCUCGUUUCCACCUUGUCCCCAUGUCGUGAUCAGUCACGUUUGGCUUUCCCUGCUUCCCAUCCGUCAGGUGGUAUUGCUUCUCUGAGUUUCAAGUUUCUCUCAUUUUGGUGACAGGCCGGUUUUGGUGAAAGUUACUGAAUAAGCACAAAGUGUGAUGAACGGAAAAUCCCACCAUGCUUAAAAAGAGUUACCAUAACCACGUGAAAGAAAUUCCAAGUACAAGACAUGGCAGUGACUCCGAGGCUCCAGAUCCCCAGCCCACCACCCUCUUCUGUCUUGAUGUGCGAGUUUCUAGACUUCUUUGAAACCGAUUAUCCUUAUCUGUAGCUUGCUUUGCAGCGAGGAUGACGUAGUAUGGAGCCUGAAGGAAGUUACGAGGGUGUCAGAAAAGCCGCCUGCUGGAGUCUGGGGACUGGCUGUCCACGCUCUACUAAAGGAAGAAAGGUGGAAGACUCGGAUCUCGUCGUGUGCGAUUCUCCCGAGUGGUGGUGCUGCUUGGUCCUCAUACUUGCUGUGCUAAGGUAUUUUCCUGUCUCUGCUUCCCCCACGGUUAGAACUUCUGCUGAACUUGUGGCCCUUUGGGGAAAUUUUUCUGCCAGACAUCAGUCCUUGUUCUCUGAUAUGAAACAGAUGGUUUCGGCAGCCUAGGGAAUAAUUGCCACACUUAAUACCUGCAGUGUUACAGUGUGUUUUAGACUUGGCCUUUUAUCUAAAAACUGCACGUUUAAGGAUUUUUUUUUUUUUUUUACUGACAUUGCUCACUUUACUGAGAAACAUGAUAAGGCUCUCUCCUUUACUUUAUAGUAAUGGCUCAUCCAAGGUCCUAGCCAGUGAGUCCACAUCACAGAAUGCUACAAUCUCUAAAGGGGCAUGUUUUAACAUAAACGCUACAGAUAAGAUGUAGGCUCAGCGUUCCUGCCAAAAGAAUCAGUAGAGCAUAAGAAAUGCACACCAUGGAUUGAACAGUUAAAGGUCAGUUCAGAGGUACAUCUGAGUUAGGGUAGGUGCUGGAUACUGAUUCUAUGAUGAUUGUGUUCAAAGGCUGUGUAACUCAGAAUUUGUCAGAAUGAAAUGCAGACAUGUUCAUGGCCAUUUGCUGUGCCUUGCACUGGGGAAUCUUGAUUAUUCCCUUGACAGUAAAACAGGAUUAUACCGCACUGGUGGGUCUGGGCAGGAUGGUUCAUGAGUGGGAGGCAGGGGGUGUUUCAACAGCAGGAAUCCUAAAAAUGCCUGGGAUGUAAGAUAAACCUUCCUCUGGCUAACAGCAGCAAUCAUUAGAUACCUUCACUUAGUCCUUGGUCACAAGCUCACCUUCAAAGCUCGCUCAGAUGACAGAGAUCACUGGCUGAAACAUGGUGAUUGCUGUGGGAGUCUUGACUAAAGGGAGGUGGAUGGAUGGAUAGGUAGAUGCCAGAUAGCUGUAGAGAGACAGAGAUAGAUAGGGAAGCUUCACCAGGUGCAGGAAAAGCCUUUUAGGAAGGAGCCGCCUCACACCACUAGGGGUAUGUUGUCAAGAUGGGCAGACCUUGAAAAAGCAUGCAUGGUGUCUAGCUGUUGUCUAGAAUUUCCCCAGGCAUUCUCCAAAACCUGGAAGUUUCCAUGGGAGAACCAGUGGCAUACAUUCUACACCUGGCUACAUAACAACUCACUUGCCAGUAGAAGUGUAUCUUUCAAAGUAAUUACUCAGUUAAGGUAUUUUCAGACUCGGUGUUCAGGACUGAAAUUGCUGGUAGCAAGGGUGGAUAACCUAAUUGAAAACACUCUUACUACAAAGCAUCUAAAAUACUAGAUAGAAUACAACAAACCUCUCUUUAAAUGCACAUUUAAACCAGCAAGACCUAAUUAUUUCAGUAACCUAGAGGUUUAGGGAUUUUAAGAAGUCCUACUUCGUCCCUGUGGAUAAAGUUUGUCAUGAAGUUUGCCUUUGAAAAGUGAGAGACAUGCAGACGAAUGGAUAGAGAAGAUGUGGGGUGAGUGUGCGUGUGUAUUAGAAUGUUAGCCAUAAAAAAUAAAUGAAAUGAUGCCUUUUGUAGCAACACAGAAAGACCUAGAGAUUUUCAUUCUAAAUGAAAUAAGCCAAAUAGAGAAAGACAAAUACCAUAUGAAAUUAUUUAUAUGUGGAAUCUGGAAAAAAAAAGGACAUGAAUGAAUUAUUUACAAAACAGAAAUAGACUCACAGACUUAGAAAACAAACCAAAGGGGAAAAGAAUAAAUUGGGAAUUUGGGAUGAACAUAUACACACUAUUAUGUGUAAAAUAGAAAACCAACAAGGACCUCCUGUAUAGCACAGGGAACUAUAUUCAAUAUUUUGUAGUAACCUAUAAGGGAAAAUUUAUAUAUAUCUGAAUUAUUGUGCUGUACAGCUGAAACUAACCCAACAUUGUAAAUCAGCUAUACUUCAGUGUAAAAAAGUGAACAACAUAAAAUUAGAAUUUCUAAAGUCACCUUCUUAAA
rnacentral:lncRNA from 1 species